rnacentral:lncRNA from 1 species
AAUAUCAUACACUGGAAAGAUAACUGAACUUGUACAUGACAAGAAAAUUUGCUAAUAUCCAAUGUCUCAAUUAAAAUAAUCCUAACUUGUCUGAAUCGUGCUACAUGACAAGAAAAUUGGCUAAUAACCAAUGUCUCAGUGAAAAAAUAAUUCUACCUUGUCUGAACUAUAAACCCUAGCUAUGAAAUAAUUAUAUUUAGCAGCAUUACAGCUGCAAAACCUGCACAUUUUACUAUCCUAUAAAAUACCCAAAGCUGGGGGGAUUAUUUUAACAAUAUAAAACUAUAAAACAAAAAAAAAAAAAAAAGAAGAAGGAAGUUUAUCUAUAUUUUUGAUGGAGCUACUAAGUUAGAGUACCUGAUAAGGAUAGGUGCCUAACCAUGCCAAAGCUUGAGUUCUUCUGGUGAAGAGAAGGGGUGUGCAAAGUCAA